AAGCUGCGCAACCGCCAUGAGACCGCCGGUCACCGUUAAGAUGAACAUGACGAAAAGCAAAUGGAAGACCGGCGUCUUGACGGCCUCAGCCAAGGUGUAGUCGCGCCGGCUUUGCACGAGCGUCUUUGAAGCUGUCGUCUCCCCCGCUCCCGGCGCUCGCAAGGCGAGCGAGGCGAGCAUGAUAAUAACGCCUUGGAUCAAGCCA
rnacentral:misc_RNA from 1 species